rnacentral:misc_RNA from 1 species
GAAAGAUUUGCACAUCGUUAUCACAACCGUACGCUUUUUGGCAUGUAUCCUAGAAACCGCAGAGGUGAAAGUUCCAGAAGAGUUGAAGGUAUUUCUGGCUUAGACAGAACUGGUGGAAGCAUUUCCUCUCGCAGAUCCCUUGGAGCUAGGCUCAUUGAAGCUGAUGGAGCUCCUUUAGUUGAUACAGAUGCUUUGCAUGCUAUGAUACGGUUGCUUCGCGUGGUGCAGCCUUUGUAUAAAGGUCAACUGCAGAGGCUACUUUUAAAUUUGUGCGCGCAUAGUGAAACCAGGACGUCAUUGGUUAAAAUUCUUAUGGACAUGUUGCUAUUUG